rnacentral:rRNA from 1 species
UAAUACGGGGGGGGCAAGCGUUGUUCGGAAUUACUGGGCGUAAAGGGCGCGUAGGCGGUCUGCUAAGUUGGAUGUGAAAACUCUGGGCUUAACCCAGAGCCUGCAUUCAAAACUGACAGGCUUGAGUUCUGGAGGGGAUAGCGGAAUUCCUGGUGUAGCGGUGAAAUGCGUAGAUAUCAGGAGGAACACCGGUGGCGAAGGCGGCUAUCUGGACAGAGUCUGACGCUGAUGCGCGAAAGCUAGGGGAGCAAACAGGAUUAGAUACCCUGGUAGUCCACGCCCUAAACGAUGCAUAUUUGGUGUAGGUCAUUCAGUUGAUCUGUGCCGGAGCUAACGCGUUAAAUAUGCCGCCUGGGGAGUACAGUCGCAAGGCUGAAACUCAAAGGAAUUGACGGGGGCCCGCACAAGCGGUGGAGCAUGUGGUUCAAUUCGACGCAACGCGAAGAACCUUACCUGGGCUCGAACGGCUAGUCAACGAUCGUGGAAACACGGUUACUCCGCAAGGGGGUCUAGUCGAGGUGCUGCAUGGCUGUCGUCAGCUCGUGUCGUGAGAUGUUGGGUUAAGUCCCGCAACGAGCGCAACCCUUGUCCUGUGUUGCCAUGCCGAAAGGCGGAACUCGCAGGAGACCGCCAGCGAUAAGCUGGAGGAAGGUGGGGAUGACGUCAAGUCCUCAUGGCCUUUAUGUCCAGGGCUACACACGUGCUACAAUGGCCGGUACAAUGCGCCGCUAAGUCGCAAGACGGAGCCAAUCGCAAAAAACCGGUCUCAGUUCGGAUUGCAGGCUGCAACUCGCCUGCAUGAAGCUGGAAUCGCUAGUAAUGGCAGAUCAGAACGCUGCCGUGAAUACGUUCCCGGGCCUUGUACACACCGCCCGUCACAUCACGAAAGUGGAUUGUACUAGAAGUCCGCACGCUGACCGCAAGGGAGCAGCGGCCCAAGGUAUGAUUCAUGAUUGGGGUG